rnacentral:misc_RNA from 1 species
GGAUUUGCCCAUCUGCUUCAAUCUCUGCCAAAGUUUUGCGAAUAGUUGUCACACCAUGUAUCUCCUUCAACACAGUACACAGCCAAAGUUGGUCAUACAUAUUACGCUCCUCAGGUUGAACAACGACCAUAAUAACAGCACUGCUAUUGUUGUAUUCAUUCCAUGCUUUAGCUAACGCCUCCGCAUAUCGACUGACAGCAGUGUUUCCAGG